CAAGAGGGAAAUUGUUAUAAACUUGGUUGAAACCAGGUUGUAUGUAGUCAUUAAAUUAACAUUUGGGAGGAAAGAAAGUAAGUGUUGGUGUGGGAGAGGAAUUCCAAGAAUGAGAAGUGAGAGCACUCAAGGGAGGUGUCCUCAAGGCAGGAAAUGAUGGUAGGGAUUUUCCUACCCACCCCAUUACUGAGCAGCCCUAUUCCUGCCUGGGGGCAGCUGCACUGGCCCCAGGAGGACAGCAGGGAGGAGCUGCCAGUCAUCACCUGUCACAGUCACAGGACCAUGUGGGUGUCAGCGGGCAGGCCUCCCGUGCCCAGGCCCUGUCUCACUGGCUGGGCAGAGCCCGAGGACAGGAUAAAAGGGCGCUGGGGCAGGGCCGCUCCAUCCACCGCCCUCCUGAGGUGCUGACUUACCCACUGCGGCCCGUGUGUCUGCUCCAGAACCCUCACCGCCAAGAUGUCCUGCCAGCAGAGCCAACAGCAGUGCCAGGCCCCUCCCAAGUGUCCUGCCCCUAAAUGCCCCCCAAAGUGUCCCCCAAAGUGCCCUCCAGCCUCUUCCUGCUGUAGUGUCAGCUCCGGGGACUGCUGUGGCCCCAGCCUAGGGAGCUGCUGUGGCCCCAGCUCCGGGGCUGGCGGCUGCUUCCUGGGCCACCACAGGCACCACAGAGCCCACUGCCACCGCAGGCACCACAAACCUGCUGACUGCUGCAGCCAGCCCUCGGGGGGCUCCAGCUGCUGCGGAGGGGGUGUGGGUCAGUCCUCCGGAGGCUGCUGCUGAAGCGGAUCUGCGCUAACCUGAGCAGACUUGGGGCAGCAAAUGGACAGACACUUCCUUUUGCUGCUCUCCCUGUUCUUGCCUGUGGUCCUGAGAUGUCCCAGGGAAGGUUCUGAGCUCUGCGCUUAAAGUUUCAUCUUCCCUGGGCUUCAGAAGCUUAGAUCAUCUCCCAAAAUCUAUGUGCUGAUAUCUGACACUCACUGCGUUGUCUGCCCUGGGAUCCCCAGCCCACAGAGCCCAGUAUACUGCCCAGAUAAUCUGUUAGCAGUGGGCGGCCUCCAGUGAAACAAUAAAAGAAGUGUGCCCACA